rnacentral:lncRNA from 1 species
GCGAGCUGUUUUGAGGUUGGGCCUGCGUAGCCGCUGCGGUCUAUGGAAAGAGUGUCUUGGAAUAGUCGGCCAGCAGAUAUAGAUGGCCUUCUCGAGUGGUGUAAGGGCUAGGACGCGACGCCCUCUGCGUUCUUAAGGCCUCAGACUUUCUUCUGCGGCCGGCUGGAUUGGAUGCUCGAAGGCCUGGACCCUUCCUACAGCUGAGCCAACGGGAACGCGGAACCUCCGUGGAUCUGCCAAUAGAGAGCGCUCGGCCGUGGGCUGGCGGGGUCUCUGAAUCCCGGAGCACCUGGAACCCAGCACCUGCACGUGUGCCCGUGUGCACUGGAAUGCUCUCUAUGAAGAAUGACAGACUGAGUGGACAGAACUGGCAAAUUUCCCUUUAUGAAACAUUUAAACAGUCAACUUGCUCAGGCCGGUUCUCCAUUGCCUGUCUUAUUGGACUCAUCACUGCUAUAGGCUGCGCCUUGGGCUUAGAUCCUGCUGGAAAAAUACCACGUGAAUCUUCACUGGCAGAUGUGCUACCUGAUCACCGAACAGCCCCUGCCAGAACCUCUGCUGUGAGCACGACAAAAGCUGGCCAAUCUCCUCCAGGCUGGCCAGGCUCCAGCCCUAAAAGUAACUCACGUGUUCACCUGCUGUGUUAUCUGGACGCCCACUAAGUGCAGCACCCUCCACUGUGCCUUUCAGACCAGCACCAACAAGGAUGUAUCCCUUCCUCCCUCCGGCUAGACUGUUACCAGGAUCUCCAGCAC